rnacentral:lncRNA from 1 species
UUUUUUUUUUUUUGGUAAGAUGUUAAAUAUAUUACCAUUUUCGGGUUUUACACUGUACAUGUUGGCGAGGCAACUUAUUACAAAGAAAGUAAGGAGUAAAACGAGCUUAAGGAGGAUAGAAGAUGAAGCCAAAAUACAUCUGGAGGAGGGAAGCAGAGCUAUCAGUUCUGGAAGGAAAAGAGAAAAGCCUGUCCCUGAGUUGGCGGUCGAUAGACGACCAGAUAGUGGCCAGCGACGACGAGAAGGCGGAGAAUAGACGGG